AUGAACGCUGGCGGCGUGCCUAACACAUGCAAGUCGAGCGGCAGCGAGGGGUGCUUGCACCCUGUCGGCGAGCGGCGGACGGCUGAGUAACGCGUGGGAACGUGCCCCAAAGUGAGGAAUAACUGCCCGAAAGGGUAGCUAAUACCGCAUAUUAUCUUCGGAUCAAAGGAUUUAUCCGCUUUGGGAGCGGCUCGCGUCGGAUUAGGUAGUUGGUGAGGUAAUGGCUCACCAAGCCGACGAUCCGUAGCUGGUCUGAGAGGAUGACCAGCCAGACUGGAACUGAGACACGGUCCAGGCUCCUACGGGAGGCAGCAGUGAGGAAUCUUCCACAAUGGGCGAAAGCCUGAUGGAGCAACGCCGCGUGCAGGACGAAGGCCUUCGGGUUGUAAACUGCUUUUAUAAGUGAGGAAUAUGACGGUAACUUAUGAAUAAGGAUCGGCUAACUACGUG
rnacentral:rRNA from 1 species